UGGCGGACGGGUGAGUAACGCGUAAAGAACUUGCCCUUUAGACUGGGAUAACAGAGGGAAACUUCUGAUAAUACUGGAUAAGUUAGUAUAUCGCAUGAUAUGCAAAUGAAAGCUACGGCACUAAAGGAGAGCUUUGCGUCCUAUUAGCUAGUUGGUGGGGUAGUGGCCUACCAAGGCAAUGAUGGGUAGCCGGGUUGAGAGACCGACCGGCCAGAUUGGGACUGAGACACGGCCCAGACUCCUACGGGAGGCAGCAGGG
rnacentral:rRNA from 1 species